UACGUAGGUGGCAAGCGUUGUCCGGAUUUACUGGGCGUAAAGGGCGCGUAGGCGGCUUUUUAAGUCAGAUGUGAAAACCCGAGGCUUAACUUCGGGAUUGCAUUUGAAACUGGGGGGCUUGAGUGCAGGAGAGGUAAGUGGAAUUCCUAGUGUAGCGGUGAAAUGCGUAGAUAUUAGGAGGAACACCAGUGGCGAAGGCGACUUACUGGACUGUAACUGACGCUGAGGCGCGAAAGCGUGGGGAGCAAAC
rnacentral:rRNA from 1 species